rnacentral:ncRNA from 2 species
UCGCGUGCUCUGGGGUCGGUGAAAAUCCGAGCCGGCGGUGACUGGUCGAUGUCGACCAGAAGUCCGCGACCCGGUCACCGCCAGUGACCGGUUGACCAGGUGAAGCUCCUGGACCGACGGUCAAAGUCCGGAUGGGAAGUGCACGCAC